GAUCAGUGGCUCAGGAGUGAACGCGUGGCGGCGUGCCUAACACAUGCAAGUCGAGCGAUUCUCGUUCGGAGAGAGCGGCGGACGGGUGAGUAACGCGUGGUAACCUGCCUAUACACACGGAUAACGUACCGAAGGUACGCUAAUACGAGAUAAUAUGCUUUAGUCGCAUGGCUGAAGUAUCAAAGCUCCGGCGGUAUAGGAUGGACCCGCGUCUGAUUAGCUAGUUGGUAAGGUAAUGGCUUACCAAGGCGACGAUCAGUAGCCGACCUGAGAGGGUGAUCGGCCACAUUGGAACUGAGACACGGUCCAAACUCCUACGGGAGGCAGCAGUGGGGAAUAUUGCACAAUGGGCGAAAGCCUGAUGCAAGCAACGCCGCGUGAGCGAUGAAGGCCUUCGGGUCGUAAAGCUCUGUCCUCAAGGAAGAUAAUGACGGUACUUGAGGAGGAAGCCCCGGCUAACUACGUGCCAGCCGCUGC
rnacentral:rRNA from 1 species